GGCGUAAGGGCUCGCAGGCGGUUUCUUAAGUCUGAUGUGAAAGCCCCCGCCUCUACCGGGGAGGGUCAUUGGAAACUGGGGAACUUGAGUGCCGAAGAGGAGAGUGGAAUUCCACGUGUAGCGGUGAAAUGCGUAGAGAUGUGGAGGAACACCAGUGGCGAAGGCGACUCUCUGGUCUGUAACUGACGCUGAGGAGCGAAAGCGUGGGGAGCGAACAGGAUUAGAUACCCUGGUAGUCCACGCCGUAAACGAUGAGUGCUAAGUGUUAGGGGGUUUCCGCCCCUUAGUGCUGCAGCUAACGCAUUAAGCACUCCGCCUGGGGAGUACGGUCGCAAGACUGAAACUCAAAGGAAUUGACGGGGGCCCGCACAAGCGGUGGAGCAUGUGGUUUAAUUCGAAGCAUCGCGAAGAACCUUACCAGGUCUUGACAUCCUCUGACAAUCCUAGAGAUAGGACGUCCCCUUCGGGGGCAGAGUGACAGGUGGUGCAUGGUUGUCGUCAGCUCGUGUCGUGAGAUGUUGGGUUAAGUCCCGCAACGAGCGCAACCCUUGAUCUUAGUUGCCAGCAUUCAGUUGGGCACUCUAAGGUGACUGCCGGUGACAAACCGGAGGAAGGUGGGGAUGACGUCAAAUCAUCAUGCCCCUUAUGACCUGGGCUACACACGUGCUACAAUGGACAGAACAAAGGGCAGCGAAACCGCGAGGUUAAGCCAAUCCCACAAAUCUGUUCU
rnacentral:rRNA from 1 species